rnacentral:rRNA from 1 species
ACCUGGCCUUGACAUGGUAGGAACCUUAAGAGAUUAGGGGUGCUAGCUUGCUAGAACCUACACACAGGUGCUGCACGGCUGUCGUCAGCUCGUGUCGUGAGAUGUUGGGUUAAGUCCCGCAACGAGCGCAACCCUUAUCCCCAGUUGCCAUCAGGUAAAGCUGGGAACUCUGGGGAGACUGCCGGUGAUAAACCGGAGGAAGGCGGGGAUGACGUCAAGUCCUCAUGGCCCUUACAUCCCGGGCUACACACGUGCUACAAUGGCAGGUACAGAGGGCUGCGAAGCCGCGAGGUGGAGCGAAUCCCAGAAAACCUGUCUCAGUCCGGAUUGAAGUCUGCAACUCGACUUCAUGAAGGCGGAAUCGCUAGUAACCGCGAAUCAGCAGGUCGCGGUGAAUACGUUCCCGGGCCUU